rnacentral:rRNA from 1 species
CCUACGGGAGGCUGCAGUGGGGAAUAUUGGACAAUGGGCGAAAGCCUGAUCCAGCCAUGCCGCGUGUGUGAAGAAGGCCUUCGGGUUGUAAAGCACUUUCAGUGGGGAAGAAAGCCUUGGGGUUAAUACCCUCGAGGAAGGACAUCACCCACAGAAGAAGCACCGGCUAACUCCGUGCCAGCAGCCGCGGUAAUACGGAGGGUGCGAGCGUUAAUCGGAAUUACUGGGCGUAAAGCGCGCGUAGGCGGUCUGAUAAGCCGGUUGUGAAAGCCCCGGGCUCAACCUGGGAACGGCAUCCGGAACUGUCAGGCUAGAGUGCAGGAGAGGAAGGUAGAAUUCCCGGUGUAGCGGUGAAAUGCGUAGAGAUCGGGAGGAAUACCAGUGGCGAAGGCGGCCUUCUGGACUGACACUGACGCUGAGGUGCGAAAGCGUGGGUAGCAAACAGGAUUAGAUACCCGAGUAGUC